GCACAAGCGGUGGAGCAUGUGGUUUAAUUCGAUGCAAACCGAAGAACCUUACCUGGGUUUGACAAGCAGGUGGUACGAACCUGAAAGGGCGAGGACCAUAUCUUCGGAUAUGGAGCCUGCACAGGUGCUGCAUGGCU
rnacentral:rRNA from 1 species